AACUUUUGACAAUGGAUCACUUGGCUCUCGCAUCGAUGACGAACGCAGCGAAAUGCGAUAAGUAAUGUGAAUUGCAGAAUUCAGUGAAUCAUCGAAUCUUUGAACGCACCUUGCACCCUUUGGCAUUCCGAAGGGUAUGCUCGUUUGAGUGUCAUUGUACUCUCACACUCCCGAUGCUUUUGGAUUGGGAGUGGUGGACUUGGGUGUUGCUGCUUUACUGUGGCUCACCUCAAAUGGAGUAGUGCAACUCUUGGUUGGACAUAGUACGGCGUGAUAAGUGUCUUCGCCGGCGCCUCAUUAGAGGGUGGCCGAUCGGGAGCUCUGUGCUUCAAACCGUCUUCGGACAACAUCUGACAACUUGACCUCAAAUCGAGUAGGACUACCCGCUGAACUUAAGCAUAUCAAUAAGCGGAGGCU
rnacentral:misc_RNA from 1 species